UGCAAGUCGAGCGCGAAAGGCCCUCGGGUCGAGUAGAGCGGCGGACGGGUGAGUAACGCGUAGGAAUCUACCCGGUAGUGGGGGACAACUUGGGGAAACUCAAGCUAAUACCGCAUACGCCCUACGGGGGAAAGCGGGGGACCUUCGGGCCUCGCGCUAUCGGAUGAGCCUGCGUCGGAUUAGCUUGUUGGUGGGGUAAAGGCCUACCAAGGCGAUGAUCCGUAGCUGGUCUGAGAGGACGAUCAGCCACACUGGGACUGAGACACGGCCCAGACUCCUACGGGAGGCAGCAGUGGGGAAUAUUGCGCAAUGGGCGAAAGCCUGACGCAGCCAUGCCGCGUGUGUGAAGAAGGCUCUAGGGUUGUAAAGCACUUUCAGUGGGGAGAAAAGACUGUCGGUCAAUACCCGGCAGAGUUGAUGUUACCCACAGAAGAAGCACCGGCUAACUCCGUGCCAGCAGCCGCGGUAAUACGGAGGGUGCGAGCGUUAAUCGGAAUUACUGGGCGUAAAGCGCGCGUAGGCGGUCUGUUAAGUCGGAUGUGAAAGCCCCGGGCUUAACCUGGGAACUGCACUCGAUACUGGCGGACUGGAAUACGGGAGAGGGAGGUAGAAUUCCAUGUGUAGCGGUGAAAUGCGUAGAUAUAUGGAGGAAUACCGGUGGCGAAGGCGGCCUCCUGGCCCGAUAUUGACGCUGAGGUGCGAAAGCGU
rnacentral:rRNA from 1 species